rnacentral:rRNA from 1 species
CAGCAGCCGCGGUAAUACGGAGGAUCCGAGCGUUAUCCGGAUUUAUUGGGUUUAAAGGGAGCGUAGAUGGAUGUUUAAGUCAGUUGUGAAAGUUUGCGGCUCAACCGUAAAAUUGCAGUUGAUACUGGAUGUCUUGAGUGCAGUUGAGGCAGGCGGAAUUCGUGGUGUAGCGGUGAAAUGCUUAGAUAUCACGAAGAACUCCGAUUGCGAAGGCAGCCUGCUAAGCUGCAACUGACGUUGAGGCUCGAAAGUGUGGGUAUCAAACAGGAUUAGAUACCCUGGUAGUCCGCACGGUAAACGAUGAAUACUCGCUGUUUGCGAUAUACGGCAAGCGGCCAAGCGAAAGCGUUAAGUAUUCCACCUGGGGAGU